AAUAUGACCCUAUAGUGGUUAACCUUACCUCCAGAAUUGUGCCUGCUACUUGGCAAGAAGCUCAAGCUCUCCUACUGAACCAUUAGAGUCGUAUAGAUCAAAUGAAUGAUGCAGCAACCUUGGAUCUCUCAAAUGCUUAUGCUAACUAUGUCUUUAAUCAGAAGGUUGAAGGUAACAAUGGCCAAAACACAAGUGGAAGAAGAGGCAGAGGUCCAGGACUGAACAAUUCAGAGGAGGCUGGGGUGGACGUGGACGAGGUGCUCGAGGAAAUUCUAAGCCGUCAUGUCAAGUUUGCAACAGAGUUGGGCACACUACUCGUCGUUGCUACUAUCGCUUUGAUCAUGCUUUCCAGGCUACUUAAAACAAUCAGGCCUCUGCAUUCAUUGCCACAUCUGAACUAGUCUCUGACCAGUCAUGGUAUGCUGAUAGUGGAGCCACUAGCCAUGUCACUGCUGAACUUGGGAACCUCUCGAUGAAAUCUGAUUACCAUGAACAAGGAAAACCAUCAGGUGUUACUGCAAGGGAAGCUUGAAGAUGGACUCUACAAACUACAUAUUCCUGAGACUAAAAACCAUACAAAGUCAACUGUUAAUUCCUCUAUGAAUCCAUCAGUCAAUCCUAUUGUUGGGCUAAAAUUAGUUGAGUAAAAAAGAAGGAUUGAUGCCUAAUGUCAUGUGUCUUCUAUCUCAGUUAGUCCUAACGUCUUACAUAGAAGGUUAGGUCAUCCAUCUAAUAGAGUCGUAAGUCAUGUCCAAGAAUCUUGUAAUCCAAAUGCUUCAAUCAAUGGAAAACUCAACUUUUGUGAUGCUUGCCAA